GAGGGUAUAGCUCAAGUGGUAGAGCACAUGCUUAGCAUGCAUGAGGUCCUGGGUUCAAUCCCCUGUACCUCCU
rfam:Camelus ferus unplaced genomic scaffold scaffold2524, whole genome shotgun sequence.